rnacentral:rRNA from 1 species
UACGAAGGGGGCUAGCGUUGCUCGGAAUGACUGGGCGUAAAGGGCGCGUAGGCGGAUGACACAGUCAGAUGUGAAAUUCCCGGGCUUAACCUGGGGGCUGCAUUUGAUACGUGUUGUCUAGAGUGAGGAAGAGGGUCGUGGAAUUCCCAGUGUAGAGGUGAAAUUCGUAGAUAUCGGGAGGAACACCAGUGGCGAAGGCGGCGAUCUGGGAAGAUACUGACGCUGAGGUGCGAAAGCGUGGGGAGCAAACAGG